rnacentral:lncRNA from 1 species
CACAGCAUCGUCAUUUGCUAAGCUCUAGUCACUAGGGGGAGCUCUGGCCCUCAAAAAGCAUUUGGCUUCAGCCUGUAAUCAGUCUGUAACCUAAGAGUGCGUGACAAGACUGCUCAUAACGUGACUCCGUCUUUUCAAUGCAGGGUUGCUGAAGGAUGCACCAUCACUGCUCUGUGACCUCGCUUCAGCUCUGAGCAGAUGUGAUAGUCAGCAGAAGGCAGCUAGUAGGACGGUGAUCCCAGACAGAUAUGCAGAGAUUCAGUCUGGCAACUACACAGGGAACAAUGAAACCAAAGUAUGGGACACAAGGACAACACUGUCUAGCUAAUGAACGAUCCCAGCUCCCUCACAAGGUAGGUAAAAAUAAUUGCCCCCAUUUUAAACAGAGACGAAAGUCGCCUACACUUAAUUUUCAGGUAUGUGCAGAAAUGAUUUCCUGAAAAUGGACGGACUGCCGAGUCAGCUCAAUGAGAGGCACCCAGUGGGCCAGCUGCAGAGCUCAGAUUAGAACUCAGGAGCACCUGGCUCCUCAUCCCAGGAGCAGACCGCUAAGCAGUGUCGCCUCUCUGGUCAGUCUCUCUCUUCGUAAAUCAUCCACACAGAAGGAGGGAACAAAGAGCGAGACCUUGUC